AAAAAUCCGCACCUCAUAUAGCCUGAGAGCUGACAGUGACCGCGAAUGCGGGAAAUCGGUGAUCCUAUGCUGCCAAGAAAAGCCUCGACGCGAGGUUCUAGCCGCCCGUACCCCAAACCGACUCAGGUGGUCAGGUAGAGAAUACCAAGGCGAUCGAGAGAAUCGUGGUUAAGGAACUCGGCAAAAUGCCCCCGUAACUUCGGGAGAAGGGGGGCCUGAAGCGUGAACCGACUUGCUCGGGGAGCGUGAAGGGCCGCAGAGACCAGGGAGAAGCGACUGUUUACUAAAAACACAGGUCCGUGCGAAGUCGCAAGACGAUGUAUACGGACUGACGCCUGCCCGGUGCUGGAAGGUUAAGAGGACGGGUCAGCCGCAAGGCGAAGCUCAGAAUUUAAGCCCCAGUAAACGGCGGUGGUAACUAUAACCAUCCUAAGGUAGCGAAAUUCCUUGUCGGGUAAGUUCCGACCUGCACGAGUGGCGUAACGACUUCUCCGCUGUCUCAACCGCGAACUCGGCGAAAUUGCACUACGAGUAAAGAUGCUCGUUACGCGCAGCAGGACGGAAAGACCCCGGGACCUUUACUAUAGUUUGGUAUUGGUGUUCGGUGCGGCUUGUGUAGGAUAGGUGGGAGACUGUGAAGCCGGCACGCCAGUGUCGGUGGAGUCAACGUUGAAAUACCACUCUGGUCGCUCUGGAUAUCUAACCUCGGUCCGUGAUCCGGACUAGGGACAGUGCCUGAUGGGUAGUUUAACUGGGGCGGUUGCCUCCUAAAAUGUAACGGAGGCGCUCAAAGGUUCCCUCAGCCUGGUUGGCAAUCAGGUGGCGAGUGCAAGUGCACAAGGGAGCUUGACUGUGAGACUGUCAGGUCGAGCAGGGACGAAAGUCGGAACUAGUGAUCCGGCGGUGGCUUGUGGAAGCGCCGUCGCUCAACGGAUAAAAGGUACCCCGGGGAUAACAGGCUGAUCUUGCCCAAGAGUCCAUAUCGACGGCAUGGUUUGGCACCUCGAUGUCGGCUCGUCGCAUCCUGGGGCUGGAGUAGGUCCCAAGGGUUGGGCUGUUCGCCCAUUAAAGCGGUACGCGAGCUGGGUUUAGAACGUCGUGAGACAGUUCGGUCCCUAUCCGCUGCGCGCGCAGGAAACUUGAGAAGGGCUGUCCCUAGUACGAGAGGACCGGGACGGACGAACCUCUGGUGUGCCAGUUGUUCCGCCAGGAGCACGGCUGGUUGGCUACGCUCGGAAGGGAUAACCGCUGAAAGCAUCUAAGCGGGAAGCCUGCUUCAAGAUGAGGUUUCCAUGGGGACUUGAUCCCCGAGAGGCUCCCAGCUAGACCACUGGGUAGAUGGGCCGGAUGUGGAAGAGGGGACGAAAGACCCUCGCAGCUGACCGGUACUAAUAAGCCGACAACUUC
rnacentral:rRNA from 1 species